rnacentral:rRNA from 1 species
GACGAACGCUGGCGGCGUGCCUAACACAUGCAAGUCGAACGGAAAGGCCCUGCUUUUGUGGGGUGCUCGAGUGGCGAACGGGUGAGUAACACGUGAGUAACCUGCCCUUGACUUUGGGAUAACUUCAGGAAACUGGGGCUAAUACCGGAUAGGAGCUCCUGCUGCAUAGUGGGGGUUGGAAAGUUUCGGCGGUUGGGGAUGGACUCGCGGCUUAUCAGCUUGUUGGUGGGGUAGUGGCUUACCAAGGCUUUGACGGGUAGCCGGCCUGAGAGGGUGACCGGCCACAUUGGGACUGAGAUACGGCCCAGACUCCUACGGGAGGCAGCAGUGGGGAAUAUUGCACAAUGGGCGGAAGCCUGAUGCAGCAACGCCGCGUGCGGGAUGACGGCCUUCGGGUUGUAAACCGCUUUCGCCUGUGACGAAGCGUGAGUGACGGUAAUGGGUAAAGAAGCACCGGCUAACUACGUG